CCCUCUAGUGCUGGAAGAGUGUCUGGGGGCAGGUCAGUGGGAGUGGGUUUGCCCUCAGCCUGCUCUUCAUUGGGGGUGUUCAUGUUUGAUGGGGAAUGUUUGCUGUUGGUGCAAGUGGAACUAAAUGAAAAAGACAGAAGAUCAGAAAACACCUCUUUCAAACCGUCUCCGAUCCGAUACAUGGUCAUGUCCCUGCGGAAUAUCACGCUGAAGGGGAACAUGUCAAAAAAGAUUCCUCGCUUCAUGGGCAGUUUCUCAUAGCCUGGAGCUGUUUUCUGCUGGGGCAUACGGUGCUUAAACGCGGCAUUGUCAAAAUUCAUCUUGUAGACCUUCAGAGAGAGAGCGAGAAGAUCAGAAACACAGAAUCUCCACCUCGAUGUCUGUGUUGUAAAACUGUCGGCCCACCUGAGAGAGCUGCCCUACAGAGAAGUCACAACAGACGCUAUAUGAAUUUUAAACAGGCUGAGGCUACAAACACUGGACUGACCAGCUUUCAUUGUCCAUUUGCCUCUUCUCCUUCUGUGAGUUUGGCACCCAAUAGAUCUCCUGCCUUCAUUCCCCUGCUCUAAAAAAGCGACCCAGAGAGAAAGACAUAAUGAAGUGGAAAGAUAAAGAGUGAGAUGUGGAAAGAUAAAGGUCAAAGUGGGCAACAGAACGAGAAGAACGCAGCUAGAGAGAGGGAUGGCAACAUUUGGAGGGAGUCAUCAAAGCUGGAUCUUUCUUCAUCAGUGCAUUUUGGUUGCGUGGUAAAAGCUCUGGUUCACGGCCAAACACACUGAGUCAAUGAUGCUCCUAAUCUGGAUUCGGGCACACAUUACAGAGGUCCUGGAGGAAUCUGGACCCCACUCAUCAUUUGAGGGUCUCUUCUCGGCUGAUCUCUCCUCCUGGCAAGGAGCAUUAAUGCGAUGUGGAGGCCUCUAAUUUCCCUGCUCACAACAGGCCUACACUUCACCCUUUGUCUGGCUGAAUUCAGCUGCUGAAUGAUUAGAAUGAGCACCUGAUUACUUUUGUGCAGGUGUCAUCUAAAUAAAUGUGGAGGCUGUUUAGUGACUAGACCAAAAUGGCCUUAAACCAGGAUAAUACCAUUUACCUUCAGCUCUAAAAAAAAAAAAGUGUCAAUAUUUUAUAGCUUUUUUUAAAUUUAACAGUAUAAUUGAUCAAAACUGUGUGUGUCUGUACUUAAAACAUGAAAAAAUAUCUGCCAAAUAUCCCUUUCAGAAAACAAAACUUGUCUUAUAAUGACCUUUUAUAAUAACAUGUUAUGUUUUCAGGUGAAUUUAUCUUGAUUAGAAAUGUUUGUACUGGAUAACAAGACUAAAAAAAAAAGUUUUUU